rnacentral:rRNA from 1 species
GUGAGGAAUAUUGCGCAAUGGAGGCAACUCUGACGCAGCCAUGCCGCGUGCAGGAAGAAGGCGCUACGCGUUGUAAACUGCUUUUAACCGGGAAGAAACCCCCUUACGUGUAAGGGGUUGACGGUACCGGCGGAAUAAGCACCGGCUAACUUCGUGCCAGCAGCCGCGGUAAUACGAAGGGUGCAAGCGUUAUCCGGAUUCAUUGGGUUUAAAGGGUGCGUAGGCGGAGCGUUAAGUCAGUGGUGAAAUCCUGCAGCUCAACUGUAGAAUUGCCAUUGAUACUGGCGCUCUUGAGUGCGCUUGAAGUAGGCGGAAUGUGCCGUGUAGCGGUGAAAUGCUUAGAUAUGGCACAGAACACCAAUUGCGAAGGCAGCUUACUAAGGCGAUACUGACGCUGAGGCACGAAAGCGUGGGGAUCGAACAGGAUUAGAAACCCCGGUAGUCC